AGUCGAGCGCAGGAAGCAAGUUGAUCCCCUUCGGGGGUGACGCUUGUGGAAUGAGCGGCGGACGGGUGAGUAACACGUGGGCAACCUGCCUGUAAGACUGGGAUAACCCCGGGAAACCGGGGCUAAUACCGGAUAAUACUUUCUUUUGCAUAAAGGAAAGUUGAAAGGCGGCUUCGGCUGUCACUUACAGAUGGGCCCGCGGCGCAUUAGCUAGUUGGUGAGGUAACGGCUCACCAAGGCGACGAUGCGUAGCCGACCUGAGAGGGUGAUCGGCCACACUGGGACUGAGACACGGCCCAGACUCCUACGGGAGGCAGCAGUAGGGAAUCUUCCGCAAUGGACGAAAGUCUGACGGAGCAACGCCGCGUGAGUGAUGAAGGUUUUCGGAUCGUAAAACUCUGUUGNUAGGGAAGAACAAGUUGGAUAGUAACUGAUCCAACCUUGACGGUACCUAACCAGAAAGCCAC
rnacentral:rRNA from 1 species